rnacentral:rRNA from 1 species
UACGAAGGGGACUAGCGUUCUUCGGAAUCACUGGGCGUAAAGGGCUCGUAGGCGGCCAACUAAGUCAUACGUGAAAUCCCUCGGCUUAACCGGGGAACUGCGUCUGAUACUGGAUGGCUUGAGUUCGGGAGAGGGAUGCGGAAUUCCAGGUGUAGCGGUGAAAUGCGUAGAUAUCUGGAGGAACACCGGUGGCGAAGGCGGCAUCCUGGACCGAUACUGACGCUGAGGAGCGAAAGCCAGGGGAGCAAACGGG